AUGGUGUAUAGAAGCACAGAAGGUUAGUACUCCCCUUGAUAAAGAUGGAAGAGGUCCUCGUGGCCUUUACAACACCUAUACGGUUAAGGCAUUGCCACUUCUUGGCAUCUAACCACCAUUUAAA